AAAGUAAACACCCCAAGUGUCCGGGAACAAAGGCAAGUUGUCUUCCUACGGUGCCGGAGCCGUGUGCCUCUUCUGAAGAAUAAGAGCUAUUAUUAUUCUUUAUGUCUUAUCCUUUUUUUUUUUUUUUUUUUUUUUCAGCCAAGUUUCCUUCUAAGGGAAAUAAACACCAAAGGUAGGAUUCCAAGGAAAUGACUCACGGCGGCUGGCAGGGCUCUGGCGGGGCUGGCCCGGGCCCCCGCGCUCCAGCCCGCAGCAGAUGCCGGCCCGGCCCUCCCUCUCUCGCCGGCCAAGCAGGCUGGAAGCCCGUGGCUGCGGAAGCGCCCUGCGCCCGUGGGACCUGGCGGCGAGGACGCCUCUUGCCUGCUUCUGCGGCCGCAGCCGGGCACUCGGAAAGUUGCUAGGGCCGAAGAGGCGGGAGGGGAAGAAGGGCGGAGAGAAGCGGAGGCGUGGACCAGGCGGGCAGCAGCCUCAGCCCGCCGGGGAGUGAUCCUCCAACUGUGAAAAACCAAACCUCUGGCUGCCUGACUCCCUAGGAAUCAAGAAGCCGCACAGACUGAAAAUCAAGGGAGGAAGGAACAAGAUCAAGGAUGAGGAUUAGCAUCUGCAAAUUGAACUCUAUCUAAUUUGCAUGUUUAUUUCUUAGAAUUGUAAUUAAAUUUGUGUAAUAAAUGUUUCCAUUUCAUUUGUACACUUAAAACUUGGGUGACUGACAUGCAGUUAAGUGAAAUUCCUUUUUUUUUUUUUAAGCAAAUGUAGUUUAUUCAAUAAAGCAGCAAACCAAUAUUAAACAUAAUUAGAA